AUUGAACGCUGGCGGCAUGCCUUACACAUGCAAGUCGAACGGUAACAGGUCUUCGGAUGCUGACGAGUGGCGAACGGGUGAGUAAUACAUCGGAACGUGCCUAGUAGUGGGGGAUAACUACUCGAAAGAGUGGCUAAUACCGCAUGAGAUCUACGGAUGAAAGCAGGGGAUCGCAAGACCUUGUGCUACUAGAGCGGCCGAUGGCAGAUUAGGUAGUUGGUGGGAUAAAAGCUUACCAAGCCGAUGAUCUGUAGCUGGUCUGAGAGGACGAUCAGCCACACUGGGACUGAGACACGGCCCAGACUCCUACGGGAGGCAGCAGUGGGGAAUUUUGGACAACGGGCGCAAGCCUGAUCCAGCAAUGCCGCGUGCAGGAUGAAGGCCUUCGGGUUGUAAACUGCUUUUGUACGGAACGAAAAGCCCUGGGUUAAUACCCUGGGGUCAUGACGGUACCGUAAGAAUAAGCACCGGCUAACUACGUGCCAGCAGCCGCCGUAAGAC
rnacentral:rRNA from 1 species